rnacentral:rRNA from 2 species
GGGUUGUGAGGUUAAGCGACUAAGCGUACACGGUGGAUGCCCUGGCAGUCAGAGGCGAUGAAGGGCGUGCUAAUCUGCGAUAAGCGCCGGUAAGGUGAUAUGAACCGUUAUAACCGGCGAUACCCGAAUGGGGAAACCCAGUGUGAUUCGUCACACUAUCAUUAACUGAAUCCAUAGGUUAAUGAGGCGAACCGGGGGAACUGAAACAUCUAAGUACCCCGAGGAAAAGAAAUCAACCGAGAUUCCCCCAGUAGCGGCGAGCGAACGGGGAGGAGCCCAGAGCCUGAAUCAGCAUGUGUGUUAGUGGAAGCGUCUGGAAAGGCGCGCGAUACAGGGUGACAGCCCCGUACACAAAAGCGCAUGUGUUGUGAGCUCGAUGAGUAGGGCGGGACACGUGGUAUCCUGUCUGAAUAUGGGGGGACCAUCCUCCAAGGCUAAAUACUCCUGACUGACCGAUAGUGAACCAGUACCGUGAGGGAAAGGCGAAAAGAACCCCGGCGAGGGGAGUGAAAAAGAACCUGAAACCGUGUACGUACAAGCAGUGGGAGCACCCUUUGGGGUGUGACUGCGUACCUUUUGUAUAAUGGGUCAGCGACUUAUAUUCUGUAGCAAGGUUAACCGAAUAGGGGAGCCGGAGGGAAACCGAGUCUUAAUUGGGCGUUAAGUUGCAGGGUAUAGACCCGAAACCCGGUGAUCUAGCCAUGGGCAGGUUGAAGGUUGGGUAACACUAACUGGAGGACCGAACCGACUAAUGUUGAAAAAUUAGCGGAUGACCUGUGGCUGGGGGUGAAAGGCCAAUCAAACCGGGAGAUAGCUGGUUCUCCCCGAAAGCUAUUUAGGUAGCGCCUCGUGAAUUCAUCUCCGGGGGUAGAGCACUGUUUCGGCUAGGGGGCCAUCCCGGCUUACCAACCCGAUGCAAACUGCGAAUACCGGAGAAUGUUAUCACGGGAGACACACGGCGGGUGCUAACGUCCGUCGUGAAGAGGGAAACAACCCAGACCGCCAGCUAAGGUCCCAAAGUCAUGGUUAAGUGGGAAACGAUGUGGGAAGGCCCAGACAGCCAGGAUGUUGGCUUAGAAGCAGCCAUCAUUUAAAGAAAGCGUAAUAGCUCACUGGUCGAGUCGGCCUGCGCGGAAGAUGUAACGGGGCUAAACCAUGCACCGAAGCUGCGGCAGCGA